rnacentral:rRNA from 1 species
AGCGAACGCUGGCGGCAGGCCUAACACAUGCAAGUCGAACGAAGUCUUCGGACUUAGCGGCGGACGGGUGAGUAACACGCGGGAACGUACCUUUUGGUUCGGAAUAACUGAGGGAAACUUCAGCUAAUACCGGAUAAGCUCUUCGGAGGAAAGAUUUAUCGCCAUUAGAGCGGCCCGCGUUGGAUUAGGUAGGUGGUGUGGUAAAGGCGCACCAAGCCUAUGAUCCAUAGCUGGUCUGAGAGGUUGAUCAGCCACAAUGGGACUGAGACACGGCCCAGACUCCUACGGGAGGCAGCAGUGGGGAAUCUUGCGCAAUGGUCGAAAGACUGACGCAGCCAUGCCGCGUGAAUGAUGAAGGUCUUAGGAUUGUAAAAUUCUUUUAGCAGGGACGAUAAUGACGGUACCUGCAGAAAAAGCCCCGGCUAACUUCGUGCCAGCCGCCGCCGUAA